GACGAACGCUGGCGGCGCGCCUAACACAUGCAAGUCGAGCGAGAACCAGAGCUUCGGUUCUGGGGAAAGCGGCGAACGGGUGAGUAACACGUGGGUAAUCUGCCCUCGGCGCCGGGAUAGCCCGGGGAAACCCGGAUUAAUACCGGAUGGCCUCUCGCGCUCUCGGGCGCGAAAGAAAAGGUGGCUUCGGCUUCUGGCCGAGGAUGAGCCCGCGGCCGAUUAGCUUGUUGGUGAGGUAAUGGCNCACCAAGGCUCCGAUCGGUAGCUGGUCUGAGAGGACGAUCAGCCACACUGGGACUGAGACACGGCCCAGACUCCUACGGGAGGCAGCAGUGGGGAAUCUUGCGCAAUGGGCGAAAGCCUGACGCAGCGACGCCGCGUGCGGGAAGAAGGCCU
rnacentral:rRNA from 1 species